GGGGGGGCAAGCAAGAUGGCUCAGCCAUUAGAGGCCCUUGUAGACAUACAAGGCAUGAAGAGCUAAGUUCCUGGGAACGUGCAUAUAUAAUGCCAGGCACGGAAGAGCACACUUCUGAAC